GUGCUCACUUUGGCAGCACAUAUACUAAAAUUGGAACGAUACAGAGAAGUUUAGCAUGGCUCUUGCACAAGGGUAACACCCAAAUUCAUUAAGCAUUCCGUAUUUUC
rnacentral:snRNA from 1 species